AUUCAGGGCCCCUGCUGUGCGCAUACACAGUGGCAAUGGAAAUUUUAAUAACAAUUUCAAAGUGGUAUGAUUGGAUACGUUCCCGUGGAGAGACGAAGGAAAAGCAAAAGCAGCAGAGAUCCUAUCCCUCUCAGUCUUUAUUACCGAGUUAUCCCCGUGCCAAAAUAAAGGCUUACAGGCCAAGCCUUUCUCAUGUGCACUGCCUGAACGUACGCUUCUGAGACCGUGAGAUAGGUCUGUUUUAACAUAGGGACUAUCUCGAUGUACAUUACAAUAAAUACGCCUUUUCGUGUGCUCUACUCCUGUACUGUGAGGAAUGGGGCUAUUUGUGUAUACAACAUGUUUACCAGGUCCUAAACCUUUUAUCUUGACUAUCAGCUUCGAGCCUGAAUUCAAAUUGAGUAUGUAAUGCUGCUGUUUGGUCGAUGUUAUCUCAAGUGACACCAAUAAAAGCAAAGGAAUGGCACACUG